CCUACGGGAGGCAGCAGUGGGGAAUAUUGCACAAUGGGCGAAAGCCUGAUGCAGCGACGCCGCGUGAGGGAUGGAGGCCUUCGGGUUGUAAACCUCUUUCGCUCAUGGUCAAGCCGCAGCUUUGGGUUGUGGUGAGGGUAGUGGGUAAAGAAGCGCCGGCUAACUACGUGCCAGCAGCCGCGGUAAUACGUAGGGCGCGAGCGUUGUCCGGAAUUAUUGGGCGUAAAGGGCUUGUAGGCGGUUGGUCGCGUCUGCCGUGAAAUCCUCUGGCUUAACUGGGGGCGUGCGGUGGGUACGGGCUGACUUGAGUGCGGUAGGGGAGACUGGAACUCCUGGUGUAGCGGUGGAAUGCGCAGAUAUCAGGAAGAACACCGGUGGCGAAGGCGGGUCUCUGGGCCGUUACUGACGCUGAGGAGCGAAAGCG
rnacentral:rRNA from 1 species